CUUCUUUCUAGCUCUUCCACUACCCUCUGCCUCCAGAAGCAUAAACAAUGCCACUUCUAGCUGUGUGACUUUGGGCAUUUAGGAUCAUAUCUCUGAGCCUCUGUAGUCUCACCUAUGUAAUGGGCAGAAAAUAGUAUUUUGAGGUAGGAAUAGAGGUUACCUAUGGGGGAUACUAACUGGGACAAAGCAUAGAGGACCCUGGAAAUGCUGGGUGUCUUGUUCUGGUCACAGCAGUGUACCCAUAUAUAAUGAUUCAUCAAACUGGGCGUGGUGAUGCAUGUCUGUAAUCCUAGCACUCUGAGAGGCUGAGUCAGGAGAACUGCCACAUUUGAGCAGACCCUGGGCAAUUUAGCGACUUACUGAAACCCUGUCUCAGAAUACAAAAUAUACAAAAGGGCUGGGGAUAUAUCCUCAGUGGGAAGGCCCUGAGUUCAAUCCCCAGUACCGGGGAAAAAAAUUGAUUGUACAUUAGAGUACCAUACUGCAUGUAAGUUACAGCUCAGUGCACAAGUGAGUAGAAAAGAUGCCUCUCAACCUCAAGCCUCUCCUCAAGGGUGUGGGACGAAGAAUACUAGGGUCAAACCAAAGCUUGUCGCACGGAGCUGGCCCGUGACCUCUCCUCCUCCGCUCUCACCCUCGAUGGAUUUUCUGUCUUUCUUGGCACCAGAACAGGGCUCUGAUUAGCCGCAUGGAUCAACCAGGAAGACUUCCCUGACCAGGAAAAUUGAGGCACAACCCCAAAGGAGAAAGGAGACGUCCAGGUUUUAGACAGGAAAACAAUAUCAAAAUCUGUAAUGUGGAGGUAGCAGAAGCACCGCUGUGGAGAGGAUGGAGGAGGCCCUGGAAGAACUAAAGCCCGGACCCGGGACCCCAACUGCGGGUCCCCAGCUCUGCCUUGCCGCCAUCGCGCAGAUGGCCGGGCCUCUGGGCCUGGCUCCCCCUCGCCCCCCUGUGGCCAGCUUGGGAACCGUCGCGCACAGCUGGGCCAGGCGGAGCCCUCCCCCACCCCCAUCUCUCCGCACCCGCUGUCACCUCGGCGACGAGUCAUCCCCAGGGAUCCGGAGCUGGACGGUGCAGCUCGCUCCAGGAGACACUCCCAGACUCAGUCUCAUUAUCUACCGGGCCAAGAAAAACCUCCCUGGAUGAGGAGAGAGCUUGCCAGUGGAUCUGUGUUAUUAACACCCAGCAACUCUGCUAUCCCACCCGGCUGAUUUCUCCAUCCCAAUAAAUCUCACUCGGUGGCCAAGUCCAAAACAAGGCUUCAGAGCAAUUUCGGGUGUGAAUCUUUGGAUCUGUUUGUUCAUUCCUCG
ensembl:lincRNA